AAGAAAGCUUGCUUUUUUUGCUGACGAGUGGCGGACGGGUGAGUAAUGCUUGGGAAUCUGGCUUAUGGAGGGGGAUAACUGUGGGAAACUGCAGCUAAUACCGCGUAUAAUCGAGAGAUGAAAGGGUGGGACCGUAAGGCCACUUGCCAUAAGAUGAGCCCAAGUGGGAUUAGGUAGUUGGUGGGGUAAGGGCCUACCAAGCCUGCGAUCUCUAGCUGGUCUGAGAGGAUGGCCAGCCACACUGGGACUGAGACACGGCCCAGACUCCUACGGGAGGCAGCAGUGGGGAAUAUUGCGCAAUGGGGGGAACCCUGACGCAGCCAUGCCGCGUGAAUGAAGAAGGCCUUCGGGUUGUAAAGUUCUUUCGGUGAUGAGGAAGGGGUAUUAUUGAAUAGAUAAUAUCAUUGACGUUAAUUACAGAAGAAGCACCGGCUAACUCCGUGCCAGCAGCCGCGGUAAUACGGAGGGUGCGAGCGUUAAUCGGAAUAACUGGGCGUAAAGGGCACGCAGGCGGACUUUUAAGUGAGAUGUGAAAUCCCCGAGCUUAACUUGGGAACUGCAUUUCAGACUGGGAGUCUAGAGUACUUUAGGGAGGGGUAGAAUUCCACGUGUAGCGGUGAAAUGCGUAGAGAUGUGGAGGAAUACCGAAGGCGAAGGCAGCCCCUUGGGAAUGUACUGACGCUCAUGUGC
rnacentral:rRNA from 1 species